GGCAAGAUGGCCGAGUGGUCUAAGGCGUAGCAUUAAGGAAGAUGUUCUGAGCAUUCGGAAAGCACCUGCUAUCUUCGGGCGUGGGUUCGAAUCCCACUCUUGUCA
rnacentral:tRNA from 1 species